CUGCACCCUGGAAACAGCUGGGAAGCUGCCUUCUGGUUGCACAGACACUCAGUCCAGGAGCUUCAAGAGAUAUAGAGGAACCUAAAAUUAAAGACUCACAUUUAACAUCUCUCUACUUCAAGCAAGUCAGCAAAUGAGGCAAAGCUGUGAAGUUCAUUAAUACUAGAAGAAAUGAACAUGAGUCCUACCUGAUUCCUGAAGCUUCCCCUUGAAUGUACCAUUUUUUGUUAGAGGACAGUUGUGCUGUUUCUUCUCUCUUUCAGAACGGCUGGACCCAGCUUCUGGAUAAAUUGAGAAUACCUACAACUACAUCUACAACUGAACAAACACACAGAAAGGGAUGGGCGUGCCCAAAGGAUGAAACCUGUGCAGGAUGAGGUCCUGACCAUUGCUGCUGGGCAUUGCUGAGGCCCAGAGCCUGGACCAUGGUCACCGUGUACUGCUGCAGGGCUGGGCACCUGGAGCACCAGCCAAGGCCACGGAUGACAGGGCGAAGGGGGUGACAUCGGCUCAUCAGCAAGCCCAAGAGGUGUCAAGACCUUGCAGGAACAAAGGCAGAGGGGAGUGGAAAGGAAUUAGCUGAGAGAUGAUACAACUGCUCUGCAGAGCACAGCCACCACAGGAGCUGUAAUCACAGAGGAAACAGUGUCUGUCUGAAACACUAUUUCUGCUUUUUUUUGUGUAAAUAUAGGAACUAUGACUUCAUGUCUCGCACUUCGA